UCAACUGAAUUUAUUGCUUUCGCGUUGAUAUAUGUUACAUCUAUACUAUGGAUAUUCUAACAUUUACUUGGACAAGUGAGUCAGUUCAAGUAGUUGAACAUAUCCACCAAAAGAGAGAGGAUUUGAAUCACGCUGAAGGAUAAAGCAAGACUUCCAAGAAAAGGGGGAGAAAGGGGAGAGAGAUUUGCGAGACACAAGGAAACCACGUAGAGGCGGAGAGGCAGAGAAGAGAGAAACUUAACUCUCGAUUCUAUGCGUUGCGCGAGGUGGUUCCAAACGUAACGAAAAUGGACAAAGCCACAUUGCUAUCAGAUGCUGUAACAUAUAUUACCCAACUGAAAGCUAAAGUGGAUGAAUUAGAAUCAAAACUUCAUAACAAUUACUAUUAUUCAGAGCACAAGAAGAAACACAAAAUGGAAAAUGAUAAUGUAGUGGACAACCAAAGCUCUACCACUUCUUGGGAUCAUACUAUGGAAAUUGAAGUGAAGAUGGUAGGUCAAGAUGCCAUGAUUAGGGUUCAAUCAGAAAAUGUGAAUUAUCCAUCAACAAGAUUGAUGUGUGCUCUUCAAGAAGUUGAACUACAUGUCUACCAUGCCAACAUCUCAAGUGUCAAUGAUCUUAUGCUACAUGACAUACUUGUUAAAGUUCCUCAAGGAUUGGAGACUGAAGAUGAAGUAAAAAAUGCUCUACUUAGAAGCUUAAAGCAAAUAACAUGUUGAUAAUUACCUAUUGGAGACUGAAGAUGAAGUAUGAUCUUCAAUCUCUUCUUUUCAUUUUUAAUCUUACCGUCAGAUCUCUCAAUAACAAUCACGUAUGCUUUGACAUUUUUUUGGAUUGAGAAUCGACUUCGGAUUUACUCAUUUGAUAGCUAAUGAGUAGGAAAAGAAGUGUAGGGUUUUCGCUUACACGUCUAAGAAAAGGGGUGAUUGGUCGGUUUAA